AAAUACCGAAGCUUAGAGAAGCUUCUAGAACUGGUUCUUAUAAGGAGUUUGGCCUUUAUGUCUGUAAAAAAAGAGAAUGAAAAAAAUUCUAAUGUGGACGGAGCCAAGUCCUAGCUAGCUGCAGCCCUUGACGUCAGCUCAUGGAGGAAGACGUUUUUUCUCCGGUCAAACAAAACUAAAGAGACUUGAUGCAUCUCAUCAAGAACUAACCCUGGGUAACCAUGGCAACCGGUGACAGUUUAAAGUCAGGCCAACACUUUCUGCAGCACUUUCUCUAUACUCUCUGAAGGCUGCCAGGCGACACCGGUCCUGGUCUGCCGGCGCCGGCGCCGCCUCCUCAUGACGUUGUCCGCCAGCGAGUUUGCUUUCUCG